rnacentral:rRNA from 1 species
CCUACGGGAGGCAGCAGUGGGGAAUCUUGCGCAAUGGGCGAAAGCCUGACGCAGCAACGCCGCGUGCGGGAUGAAGGCCUUCGGGUUGUAAACCGCUUUUACCAGGAAGGAAAAUGACAGUACCUGGAGAAUAAGGUGCGGCCAACUACGUGCCAGCAGCCGCGGUGACACGUAGGCACCAAGCGUUGUCCGGAUUUAUUGGGCGUAAAGAGCUCGUAGGCGGUUCAGUAAGUCGGGUGUGAAAACUCUGGGCUUAACCCAGAGACGCCACCCGAUACUGCUGUGACUUGAGUCCGGUAGGGGAGUGGGGAAUUCCUGGUGUAGCGGUGAAAUGCGCAGAUAUCAGGAGGAACACCAAUGGCGAAGGCACCACUCUGGGCCGAGACUGACGCUGAGGAGCGAAAGCGUGGGUAGCAAACAGGAUUAGAUACCCUGGUAGUCCACGCCGUAAACGGUGGGCACUAGGUGUGGGUUCCAACCAACGGAAUCCGCGCCGUCGCUAACGCAUUAAGUGCCCCGCCUGGGGGGUACGGCCGCAAGGUUAAAACUCAAAGGAAUUGACGG